rnacentral:snRNA from 1 species
AUACUUACCUGGCAGGGGAGAUACCAUGAUCACGAAGGUGGUUUUCCCAGGGUGAGGCUUAUCCAUUGUACUCUGGAUGUGCUGACCCCUGCGAUUUCCCCAAAUGUGGGAAACUUGACUGCAUAAUUUGUGGUAGUGGGGGACUGUGUUCAUGCUCUCCCCUG